CUUGGCUAACCUUAUUGAAAGUCUUAAUUAUCUAUUUUACCGUUCUAAAUACAAGCAGAUACAAAGGAUGGAGAGCCUUGCUGAUUUUGGUCCACAGCCUGGGGCGAAAUUUCAGCACUAUUUAAAAAGAUGAGCUAUAAGGAUAUAACCCCUAUCUCCUGAUAAACAAAGGUGAUAGACUCUGUCUGAGUCAGGAGUGUGUCCUGUUGGUGACUGCUGUCUAAGCUCAUCCCACAGCUGAGGAACAGCAACAUUCACAAAUCCUUACCGGCAGGGAGUAGAGCAGCACUGCUACAAACAGGAGGAGAAUCAGCAAGAUGAUGAGGCCUAGGAAGAGCCAUUUAAACCUGCGCCACACAAUGAAUUUCAUGGUCUUGCAGGGAUUUGUAAACCAAAGGAAGGAAGUAUCUGGCCGGCUGCAUUUUGAAAGAAUUGCUGUCCGACUCAAGAGAUGAAAUUCUGGGAUCUUACACCACACAUUAACUGGUUGUGCUUUAUCUGAUAACACUUCUGUACUUCUCUAAGCAAAUUAACAGGUUGACCUUUGAAAGAUGUGUUUGACACUCUGUCUCUUACCAGAGCACCUUCAAGUUUAAAGAUAGCCGCAGCACCAUGUGUCUCUGAGGGAGCCAUUUUUCGUCUCCAUCGCCUUCGACGGAAAGUAUCAGAACUGCGUUGUUCCCAGUGAAAUUUCCAGCCAAUCAAGGAAGCAUAUUCCCAUCCUUCUUGGUCUUCAUAUGAUGACCUUCCCUUGAAGAUAUAAAUUCUUGUUAUCCACAGUGUUGUGCAACUGUAGUGAAAAAAACAGUGUUUCCUUUGGCAGGCCUAAAAACCCCGCAUAAACCAAGGCUAGAAGCAUCAAUGGACAAAAAGAUAAAGAAAGGGAAUAUAAUGAAAAUGUAAAAGGUUGUUGUGGGUUUUAUUUUUUUGCUUGAUAUUACAUUUUUUGUUCACUCAGGUAAUGUGUAAUCUCAUGCAUAUUUAAAACCAAACAAACCAAAAACCUCAGACUGUUACAAUGUAUAAUGCCCUGCCUGGAUCUCUCUCUUACCCUUCCUGCUGUCAUUCCUUCAGGCUGUUCCCUCCUGCGUUUCCGCACCAGCCUUCGUCGUCGAUGUGUGUGGUACAUUUUCUCUGCAGCAACCCAUGACUUGGGUUUAGUGUCUGGAGGAAUAGUAAUUCCAUAUUCCCACCCUAAAGCAGAAUUGAUGAGUUGGUACAUUUUCAGAAAUACAAAGGAGAUACAGAGAAGAAAAGCACGGUGACAGAGUGACUGUACCUACAGAGGAUGAAGCUUUGCCACACGAGACUAUUCAGCACUGCACACCCUGACAGCCUAAUAGCCAGGGGGCCAGUGAUGACAUUUCAUAAUAAUGUUGUGUUGUAAUAUAUGUGACAAUAAAAAUCUCAACAUUAAAACAGAUACAAUACAUUUCAA